rnacentral:rRNA from 1 species
GAUGAACGCUGGCGGCGUGCCUAAUACAUGCAAGUCGAGCGAACGGACGAGAAGCUUGCUUCUCUGAUGUUAGCGGCGGACGGGUGAGUAACACGUGGAUAACCUACCUAUAAGACUGGGAUAACUUCGGGAAACCGGAGCUAAUACCGGAUGAUAUUUUGAACCGCAUGGUUCAAAAGUGAAAGACGGUCUUGCUGUCACUUAUAGAUGGAUCCGCGCUGCAUUAGCUAGUUGGUAAGGUAACGGCUUACCAAGGCAACGAUGCAUAGCCGACCUGAGAGGGUGAUCGGCCACACUGGAACUGAGACACGGUCCAGACUCCUACGGGAGGCAGCAGUAGGGAAUCCUCCACAAUGGGCGAAAGCCUGACGGAGCAACGCCGCGUGAGUGAUGAAGGUCUUCGGAUCGUAAAACUCUGUUAUUAGGGAAGAACAUAUGUGUAAGUAACUGUGCACAUCUUGACGGUACCUAAUCAGAAAGCCACGGCUAACUACGUG